rnacentral:rRNA from 1 species
UGGGGAAUAUUGCACAAUGGGGGAAACCCUGAUGCAGCAACGCCGCGUGAGUGAUGACGGCCUUCGGGUUGUAAAGCUCUGUCUUCAGGGACGAUAAUGACGGUACCUGAGGAGGAAGCCACGGCUAACUACGUGCCAGCAGCCGCGGUAAUACGUAGGUGGCGAGCGUUAUCCGGAUUUACUGGGCGUAAAGGGAGCGUAGGCGGAUGAUUAAGUGGGAUGUGAAAUACCCGGGCUCAACUUGGGUGCUGCAUUCCAAACUGGUUAUCUAGAGUGCAGGAGAGGAGAGUGGAAUUCCUAGUGUAGCGGUGAAAUGCGUAGAGAUUAGGAAGAACACCAGUGGCGAAGGCGACUCUCUGGACUGUAACUGACGCUGAGGCUCGAAAGCGUGGGGAGCAAACA